rnacentral:rRNA from 1 species
AGCAGCCGCGGUAAUUCCAGCUCCAAUAGCGUAUAUUAAAGUUGUUGCAGUUAAAAAGCUCGUAGUUGAAUUUCGGGAUCAAUAUAUCGGUCGUGCCUUGGUACGUACUGGUAUCAUUGGUUUCUCCUUUCUGACGAACCAUGAUGUCAUUAAUUUGGUGUUAUGGGAAGUUAGGACUGUUACUUUGAAGAAAUUAGAGUGUUUAAAGCAGGCUUUAGCUUGAAUACAUUAGCAUGGAAUAAUGAAAUAGGACGUUCGAACCUAUUUUGUUGGUUUCUAGGAUCAACGUAAUGAUUAAUAGGGAUAGUUGGGGGCAUUAGUAUUCAAUUGUCAGAGGUGAAAUUCUUGGAUUUAUUGAAGACUAACUACUGCGAAAGCAUUUGCCAAGGAUGUUUUCAUUAAUCAAGAACGAAAGUUAGGGGAUCGAAGACGAUCAGAUACCGUCGUAGU